ensembl:lncRNA
GGGAAAGAGGAAGCAGCGCUGUUGUUUGCGGAGAAGGAUGAAGUCACCCUCUGGAUACUGAUCUGAGGAGGGGUAAAAAACAGUUUCCUGUUCUCAGCUUUGUCCGUAUUGUACCAGCCAGCUGCUACACACAGACACAGCACAGCAGUAAUAUACAACACAAGGGAUCCUCUGCACACAUCAACAACUGACACCCACAAAGCAUUGUUACCCAUCGUGCCACAAAAGCAUCGGCCCUUGCAGAGCAAGGGGAACAACUACUUCAAGGUCUCAGAGCGAGUGACGUCACCGAUUGAAACGCUAUUAUCGCACACCACCGCUAACUAGCUAGCCAUUACACAUCAGUUACAUAUGCAUAUGUUGGUCACAGAUACCUUAACAAAAAAUGGGCCUCACAAUGGGCCUCAAGAUCUUGUCACUGUAUUUUUG